GACGAACGCUGGCGGCGUGCUUAACACAUGCGAGUCGAACGGAAAGGCCCUGCUUUUGUGGGGUGCUCGAGUGGCGAACGGGUGAGUAACACGUGAGUAAGCUGCCCUUGACUUUGGGAUAACUUCAGGAAACUGGGGCUAAUACCGGAUAGGAGCUCCUGCUGCAUGGUGGGGGUUGGAAAGUUUCGGCGGUUGGGGAUGGACUCGCGGCUUAUCAGCUUGUUGGUGGGGUAGUGGCUUACCAAGGCUUUGACGGGUAGCCGGCCUGAGAGGGUGACCGGCCACAUUGGGACUGAGAUACGGCCCAGACUCCUACGGGAGGCAGCAGUGGGGAAUAUUGCACAAUGGGCGGAAGCCUGAUGCAGCAACGCCGCGUGCGGGAUGACGGCCUUCGGGUUGUAAACCGCUUUCGCCUGUGACGAAGCGUGAGUGACGGUAAUGGGUAAAGAAGCACCGGCUAACUACGUG
rnacentral:rRNA from 1 species